UAACAAACCAUGCAUGGUCUCAGGUGCACC
rnacentral:piRNA from 1 species